rnacentral:rRNA from 1 species
UACGUAGGGUGCGAGCGUUAAUCGGAAUUACUGGGUAUAAAGGGUGCGUAGGCGGUCUUGUGCGUCAGGGGUGAAAUCUCCGGGCUUAACCCGGAUGGUGCCUUUGAUACGGCAGGACUUGAGUGCGAGAGAGGAUGAUGGAAUUCCUGGUGUAGCGGUGAAAUGCGUAGAUAUCAGGAGGAACACCGGUGGCGAAGGCGGUCAUCUGGCUCGUAACUGACGCUGAGGCACGAAAGCGCGGGGAUCAAACAGG